rnacentral:lncRNA from 13 species
UAGGGUCCACCCUAAUCCAGUAUGACUUAUCUUAACUGGAUUAUACCUGCAAAGACUCUAUUUCCAAAUAAGGUCACAUUCUGAGGUACCAGAACAAAGAGGGAGCCUCAAAACUAUAUAUACUGCUGACCACACAAAAGCUGGAUAUGCAUUUGGCUCUCACUCAGGGAGCCAGAGCCCCACCCCUCUCUCUGGAAUUAGCACUGAGUUAGGAGAGGCAAACAACCUGGCUGGAGGUGCUGAUGAUGAGGAGCUCUUGUGGAAGACGAAAUGCGUGAGCUUUGCUCUGAAACAUGGCUAUAAAGACUGGGACCACUUACUGCCAAAUGAUUUAACAAAUCAAAUACUUGGUGUCUCUCAGUCACUGUGCUGACAUGGUCCCAUUCUCAAGCAAGUUAGAUCCUAAUGAAAAAACUGAACAACCAAGGUAAAGGCUCUAAAAUAAUAUAAUAAAGUCUAAUAAGAAACAGGAUAAAAGGCGGGA